rnacentral:ncRNA from 1 species
AACGGAGGCGCUCAAAGGUUCCCUCAGAAUGGUUGGAAAUCAUUCAUAGAGUGUAAAGGCAUAAGGGAGCUUGACUGCGAGACCUACAAGUCGAGCAGGGUCGAAAGACGGACUUAGUGAUCCGGUGGUUCCGCAUGGAAGGGCCAUCGCUCAACGGAUAAAAGCUACCCCGGGGAUAACAGGCUUAUCUCCCCCAAGAGUUCACAUCGACGGGGAGGUUUGGCACCUCGAUGUCGGCUCAUCGCAUCCUGGGGCUGUAGUCGGUCCCAAGGGUUGGGCUGUUCGCCCAUUAAAGCGGUACGCGAGCUGGGUUCAGAACGUCGUGAGACAGUUCGGUCCCUAUCCGUCGUGGGCGUAGGAAAUUUGAGAGGAGCUGUCCUUAGUACGAGAGGACCGGGAUGGACAUACCUCUGGUGUACCAGUUGUCGUGCCAACGGCAUAGCUGGGUAGCUAUGUAUGGACGGGAUAAGUGCUGAAAGCAUCUAAGCAUGAAGCCCCCCUCAAGAUGAGAUUUCCCAACUUCGGUUAUAAGAUCCCUCAGAGAUGAUGAGGUUAAUAGGUUCGAGGUGGAAGCGUGGUGACACGUGGAGCUGACGAAUACUAAUCGAUCGAAGACUUAAUCAA